rnacentral:rRNA from 1 species
GACAGAGGAGGCGAGCGUUGUUCGGAAUCAUUGGGCUUAAAGCGCGUGUAGGCUGCUCCGUAAGUGUCUUGUGAAAUCCCGUGGCUCAACCACGGAACUGCUGGGCAUACUGCGGAGCUUGAGGUUGGUAGAGGUGCCUGGAACUCUUGGUGGAGCGGUGAAAUGUGUAGAUAUCAAGAGGAACGCCGGAGGCGAAAGCGGGGCACUGGGCCAAAUCUGACGCUGAGACGCGAAAGCGUGGGGAUCAAACAGG